rnacentral:rRNA from 1 species
ACUCAAAUGAAUUGACGGGGGCCCGCACAAGCGGUGGAGCAUGUGGUUUAAUUCGAUGCAACGCGAAGAACCUUACCUACCCUUGACAUCCACAGAAUCUUACAGAGAUGUAGGAGUGCCGAAAGGAACUGUGAGACAGGUGCUGCAUGGCUGUCGUCAGCUCGUGUUGUGAGAUGUUGGGUUAAGUCCCGUAACGAGCGCAACCCUUAUCCUUAGUUGCCAACACGUAAUGGUGGGGACUCUAAGGAGACUGCCGGUGAAGAACCGGAGGAAGGUGGGGACGACGUCAAGUCAUCAUGGCCUUUAUGGGUAGGGCUACACACGUGCUACAAUGGGGCGUACAGAGGGUUGCGAACCUGCGAAGGGGAGCCAAUCUCUUAAAGCGUCUCGUAGUCCAGAUUGAAGUCUGCAACUCGACUUCAUGAAGUCGGAAUCGCUAGUAAUCGCGAAUCAGAACGUCGCGGUGAAUACGUUCCCGGGCCUUGUACACACCGCCCGU